AUUGUCACACCCAUUAAGGGCUACAUGAAAGCCCUUGCUGUUCACAAGGCUAAUAUUGCUCACUGUCGCAUUUGACACAUCACUCAGCUUCAAAGACUGCUCAUAUAAGGGAAACUUGCAUCAAUGUAUGGAAAUGUGUAAAAAUGGUUAAAGCUUUGGUGUCUUUGAUGGGAGAGAAGCAGAUGAUCACAGCAAAUUCAGAUAGAAAAUUCCACAAAAAAGGUGAAUUUUCAACUUUUUAAAUUUACCCUCUGAUUCAUUUUUUAACUUGUUCAUACUUACUGUGGUGAAAAUGCCACAACUCAAGCGAUGGCGGCAGUUGAAACCAUACAACCAGGUUUCAGCACCCUGGCCGUCGAGAAUGCCGGAUCCGAUGUUGCCGGUGAUGGUGAGCUGGCGGAGGGACUUGAAGUAGAUCCAAACGUCGGCGGUGAGGGUGGUGGGAGCAAUCAAAGUGCCUAAAAUGAUGACUUUGGGAGAGAGAUCACCGAAACAAGGGCCUGAAAAUAACACUUGGGCAAGGAAGAAGCUGCCCUCUGGUAUUAAAAAGGUGGAGCUUCCUCUCAAUUGCCCCAUAAUCAGUUACAUCAAAAACUGCCAGUCCCCUCCAUGGAUCUCCGCCGGGGGGCUCCGCCAUGUCCGGUGGCAGAAGAAGAAAAUCCCAUGAACCGGCAGCAGAUUCCAGUGCUGGUUCCGGCGAGAAAUUACGUCCAGAUACAGAAACAGCCAGAAGAAAAUAGAAGAUUACCAGAGAUGAAAGCUUCAUGGUUUUUGAGAAUUUUGAGAUUCUCCUCACCAAGAAAAUGGCGAUAAUUGGCCAUUUAUAUUCUAAUGAAUUCUUAACUGAAGUAAUUACGAUUAAUUAAUUACUUGGACUGGUUCGUUUCUGGUCGUAUCUAAUUUAAUUCUGGAUUACCAUCUC